ACAAUAGAUUAAGAUUAUAAACAGCAUCAUGUUUUUCCUUCUAAAAAUUGAAGGAAUUCUUGACAUCAUUAAUGCAAUAUUUUUCAACUUAAAUUUUACGUAUUUUCAAGAUCAUGCUCAUUUCCAAUUAAAAAAUGCAUUGAAGUAAGCUUUCAACAGAAAGAAAAAAGAAAUAACAAAAGACUUGCUUUAACUGCGUACAAUUAUUAAUAGCGAAGUCACAAGUGAAAAUAAGGUGAUAUUUUCAAGCUAGUCAUUGACAACACAGGAAUUCUAGCUGUCGUUGUGGAGUGAUAAGACUGGCUUUGUCUAUCAAAUCAUUAUUUUUGACGACGGGAAAUGCUGGUCCAAUCGAAGCACAAAAAAAGAUAUUUCUAUCUUGCACAACUUAGACUGAUUGAACCAGAAACAUUUCAACUUGAACAUUUAUGUGUGAAAUUUGUGAAAAGCUUCGCAAGAGCAAAAGGUAAGCUGAAACUCCACAAAAGAAAGCACACAACAACAACAUCAACUACAGCAGUGGAUAAUAAAGAAGUCAAUGUGCCAAUCGUAACUAUUCACAGGUUGUCUUGUAUUGCAGCUGAUUCCUGCAAAGUUACAGAGUUUUUGUAGCAGUAUCAAUAAUUAGAUAACAUUUGAUUUAAUACAUAACAAAAAUUUUAUGUUAAAAUUGUUCAAAAUAGCUCAGUUUAUUUCAAACAUUAAGUGACUAUUCAUCGAAAAUACUUACAAUAAAAAUGGCUGAUUUGAUUUUAUCGUCACAAAAUAAAAAAUUGGAUCAGCAAGAAGAAAUAAAUAUUAGGUGUAUUAGUAAAAAAGAAGACAGUGGUUUACAAAUACGUUGGUGGAUAUGUUAUGCACAAAUUGUACCAGAAGUUGCAGAACUCUAAAAAUUCUCAUUAUACACAAGAUGAAUAUCAACAAGCUAUGGCUAUUUAAGGAAAAAAUAAAGAACAGCAACAAAAACCACAAAUUAGAGAGUAAAUGCUUUAAAUUGAGGUGGUCUAUGGAGCAUUAGGAAAUUACACGCACAAAAUAUUUAAUGUAGCAGAAAAGUUUUUUGUACACAAGUAUAAAAAUCAAGAUUAGGAAAAAUUGACAUUCCAGAUCUUGUUAAUAAAUUGGGAUAACUUUCAUAAGUAAAAUAUUUUUACAGCAGUGUUAUUUUUAAAACAGAACUGUUAUUAAUGCCGAAGUUACUAAGAAUACUCUAUACAUGCUUAACGCAAGGGAUGUUAUUGAAAAAUGCAAGGCAGAAGCAAAAAGAGCAAAAAAAAAUCUUUACGAAAAAAGUUAACAAAAAAUCAUUUCUUUUGUUUGUUAUUUCUACGCUGCACACCAAAAUAGUUUCAAACUGAAUCUUAGCAAAAUCGUUCUAUUAAAACAUACGGCAUUCCUUCUGCUAAUAAAAUUUCACGACCUCGAUCAUUAAAAAUGUAGUUAUUUCAAGUCGUUCGUAUGUUGAUGUAACAUUUUACUACAUGCUCUGUUUUUAAUAUUGUUUCUUCACUGUUCAAAAAUAAGAAUAAAAAUUACAAAGUGCACGCACAAUGAUAAACUCGACCAGUUAAGUCUUAAAAUUUAAAUUCUAGAGGUUUUGCUCCUCUAAGUCACCUAAAAAGAGGUCUGCGAACAGUCUUCAGCAGGAAGGCCAGUGCAGUCAAACCCCCUUGCUGACAUAAUAAACUAAUAAAACUUUUCUGUAGCGAUUUAAAUUGCUCAUCUUCCAGCUUCUCAAAAUAAUGGCAACGGUUGUGAGAAGGUAACUACAUCUGUUGCGAAAUGGGCAAAGCUAAAUUUUAGCUCUGAUUCAAUUCCGCGUAUAAGGAAAACAAGCAUGAGUGUCAAGAGUGUCUUCUUUUUUAAAAGCUAAAAAUUCUAAAUCAUGAUCACCUAAUUCAACGUAUCCUAUUGAUUCUCCUGUGUGAUUAUCAAAAACCUAUAAAUUUUGCCUAGCCUCAAUAGUAUUUCUUAUCUUAUGUUUAACAUGCUGAGUUAGCAGAAAGGUAUAAAAUCACUGUAAGUUAAAGUAAAUAAAAAUUAAAAAUAAAAUACAAAAAUGUUGAGGCCGAGCAAUAAUUCUUUGAUCCUGUGUGAUUCUGAGCCCACAAAUACCUUAUAAAAAGUGUUUAUACUUUGGGCGUAAUAUAUUAUAAUUUCAAUAAGCUUCCCUGCUUGAAUAACCGCCCCCCACUUCACAAUAUAGCCAGAGCUUUCAAUUUUAACUGAUGAAGAUACUGUUCCAUGCCAAGUAUAUGAAAAUGACGUUGUCACAGCAACACCCGAGUUUCUUACAGUCAAUUCAGACCAGGAAGACAAAGACGAAAACAUUGAGAUAGAUUAAUUUUUGUUUAGAUGUUGUUCGUUAAAAGUGAAAAAAAAGAAAUGAAUUAACACA